CUCCUGCGCCCCUCUUUUCUUCCCUAUCAACUGCAGACUAAUCAUCUGAUAUUUGGAUAACUGAUCUUUAAUCAUCUGCUCAUCGAGUUUAGGAUUUCGAUCUGUUUAAGUUAUCAUCAGUUUCUUCGAUUUUAGGGUUCAUCAUCUGUUAAAUCAGAUUUUAGGAAUUCAUUUAAAUUAGGGUUUUGUUCUUGAUUUGGUUGCGAUUUGUAGGUGUUGUUGAAUGAUGUAUUUGGUCAUUUCGGGAGAAAUGGAAGUUUGUUGCUGAGGAGUAUUCUUUGCUAGAGAGCUUGCUGAAGAUGGUUACUCUGGUGUUGAAGUUAGGGUUACUCUUAUCAUCCCGUGAGAAAUGAAAUCAUCAUCAGAUCUAACUCAAGAUUUUGAUUUAGUUUUGUGAUAUAUUUGAAUCUGAAAGUAGAGUUUUUAAUCAUACUGUGUAACUGGAUUUGGGUUUUGUUUGUUUGUUUUGAUUGAAGGAGUAAGUUGGUGAUUGAAGAAAACAUAGAUUGAAAAUGGUGGAGAAGCAUAUAUCUUGUUGUGAGUAUUAAUCUUCUGUCAACAUUCUGCCGGUUUCAAUGUAAUUUAGCUAAUGUCAUAUACAAUUUAUUCGUCGAAUGUGAAUCAUAUGGGUUGUGUUAAAAUUGAUGAUUUACUAAUUAUGGUUCAACAAUGGGAAUCUGUUGUUCAACAAUGGAUCGAUUGUCUUCGUCAUGAACCCAUUGCUAAUCUUCUUCAAAUCCCAUCUGGAGUUAGUCAGUUUUGGUGCUUUGCAUGGUUGGCUAGCUGCAGUUCCUUUUUAAGCUUGCUCAGCUUAUAUUGGUGAUGUACGAUAUCAGUUUGGCAACAUCAACUCUUUUUAAGCUUAGUAAUUAUUAAAGGAAUUACAGUUUUGGUUCUUUCCCAGAGACGGUAAUUAGAAAGUAUACGAAACAGAUGUUGCUGGGGCUAGAGUAUCUUCAUAAGAACGGCAUCACGCAUAGGGACAUCAAGGGGGCAAACAUUCUUGUAGAUAACAAUGGUGGUAUCAAGCUUGCUGACUUUGGAGCAAGUUGUUGAGCUGGCCACAAUUUCAGGUGCCAAGUCAAUGAAGGGUACCCCAUACUGGAUGGCUCCCGAAGUCAUUCUCCAAACGGGACAUAGCUUUUCUGCUGAUAUUUGGAGUUUUGGAUGUACUAUGAUUGAGAUGGCUACUGGAAAACCUCCUUGGAGUCGACAGUUCCAAGAGGUUGCUGCUCUAUUUCACAUUGGGACGACAAAAUCUCAUCCACCCAUCCCUGAGCAUCUGUCAGUGGAGGCAAAGGAUUUUCUUUUGAAAUGUUUGCUGAACAUUUUCUUUCUUGUUAGAUUACGACAUGUACGAGGGAGGGGAUGAAUAAGAUCUCUUUGACAGGAUGUGAUGCUCGCAUUUUUUGCUUGUGGGUCAGAAUUGCAAAGCGCCGAACAGUUCAGCAGGUUCUCAAGUUGAUACCAAAAGAGAUGGAUGGUGAGCGUUUUGAAGAUGCACAUGCCUGUGUUUGUCGUUGCAUAGGGGGUUGUAAUGAUGCGGAAAAUGCAAAUAGUGAUAGUGAUCUGGAAGUUGUUGCAGAUUCAGUUACUGUAAACUUGCGUUGUCCUUGGCAGUGCCCCAUUUGCAUCAAAAACUACACCUUGGAGCAUAUGAUCAUUGACCCGUAUUCCAAUCGCAUCACAGCCAUGGUACUGCUUACUCUUCAUCUCCUGUUUUCCCAAUGGUAUUGGCACGCCUAUAAAAAAAUUCGUAACGGCUCAUCUCUGUUACGAAAUUUUAAAAAAUUAGUAACGGCUUCAUCCUGUUACGAAUCCGGGAAUUUGGUGUAGUGAUUUAGACCUUUCCAGUUAAAGUUUUCAAAAUGACUAGAAUUGAUGGCUAAAUUCGCUAAGUUGACUGUUGUUAUGUUGACCUUUAGUGAUUUUGUUCAGACUACCCAGGACAAAAGAAACCUCCUCAAAAUCUCCAUCCCUCGUUUAGUGGAAUCCUAGGUUAACUCUUCCUUGGACUUUAUUGUUAUAUUCUUCCUUCAAUUCCAUCAGAGUUGUAUCAUCUUCUUCUUUAAAGUCAAUGUUGGUUCUUUGCAACUUCUUGGCCCAUUGAAAAAAACUCCAUUCCUCUUCUAGCUCUGCUGACUCCAGUGACACUGUUUUUGAUGUUUUUUUCUCCCACAUAUUUUUCUCCAAAAGGACGUUGACAUUACAAUCAAGGCAUAGUUCGUAUAAGGUUGAUAGCUAGCAUCUCCUUUAUGUUAGAAUAUAUCAUAGAAGUGAUCUUGAUAAUUAUUCAAAAGUUUAUUUUAUGAUUUCUCAUUAUCCUUUCCACAUUUUCCUGGUCAUCUCUCUGAUAAUAGAGAUUGUUGAGAACGUGGCUUUGGUUAUGCAUGACUCUGUUAAAAUAGCAGAGGUGUUGUUUUAUUCCUUUGGUAGUAGAAGCAUCAGUCCGUUGAAUUUUCUAAAAACAAAUUCACAUCUAGCUUUCCAGAUGAACCAGAAAAUAGUAGCAAAGGUGGGGAUCCAGUCUUUCUUAGGAUUUUGAGGUUGGAACCAAGUGUUGAGCCAUUCAGAGAAGCAGGUGGAAUCACCAAACAUCUGGUGUUGAUGACCAAAUAGAUUAUUCCAGAUAGCAGCAACAUGAGGGUAGGAGAUACGAGUAUGAGUUAAGUCCUCCUUAGCACUGUUACACAAAAACUGAGGAUGCUAGUUGUUUUAGAAUUGGUGGGCAAUAUUCCAUGAGCACAUUUCCAUAUAAACAUUUGUAUAGAUGGUGAAAUAUUCAGACUCCAAAUCUGCUUCCAUGCUGGGUUAUAGAUGUCAUAUUUGUAUUUGUCAUAAAAAUUUCCUAUCAUAAAGAGAUUUGAUAGUAAACUCUCCAUUAUCUAUGAAGCUCCAGAUAAUUUUAUCUUCCUCCUGCGAGUUUAUUAUGGUAUUUUGAAAAGCAACUUGAGUAUCCUCGGAGAAACAAAUGGCAGGGAUGCAAAACUUUCAUUUUAUUCUAUCAUUGAUGAGUUGAUUAAGUAUUAUCAGGUCACUGAAAGAGUAUAGAUUUUAGGAAUAAUGUUGGACUUGUGAUUCCAUCUGUCUUCUCAAAUUCUAAUUUGUUAACCAUUUUCCACAAUCCAGCUGUAAUACUUCUGAAUGUUUCCUACUCCUUCCAGAAUACCUUUCCAUAUCGAAGAGUCAGUUCUUUUUGGUUUGGUGUCAUUCUAAUCAGAUAUUCAUCUUUGAAAUAGUUAGCUUUCAUAGUAGAGGACCAUAGAGAAUUUGGCUCCGAGAUUAGCCUCCAUCCUAUUCUAGGUAUCAUUGCACUAUUAAAGAACUUCAUGAUUCUGAAACCCAACCCUCAUAAUUUUUAGGUUGACAAACAUAACCCGAAACAAUAAAGUAUAGAUCUUUGGGUUUCUCAGGAUCCUUUUUUCCAGAAGAAGUCUCUUUGAAGACUAUCAAUCUCCUGACAAUUUCUUUUUGGUAUC